AAUGAACGUUGGCGGUGUGGAUUAGGCAUGCAAGUCGUGCGCGAAACGUAGCAAUACGUGGAGAGCGGCGAAAGGGAGAGUAAUACAUGGUUAGCUGCCCUCGGGACUGGAAUAGCGGCGGGAAACUGCCGGUAAUGCCAGAUAACGUCUUCGGACCAAACGUGUAAACCGGCCAGAGGAGGCGACCAUGGCCUAGCAGCUUGUUGGCGGGGUCACGGCCCACCAAGGCUAAGACGGGUAUGGGGCGUGAGAGCGUGCCCCCACUCACUGGGACUGAGAACUGCCCAGACACCUACGGGUGGCUGCAGUCGAGAAUCUUCGGCAAUGGGCGCAAGCCUGACCGAGCGACACCGCGUGCGGGAUGAAGGCCUUCGGGUUGUAAACCGCUGUCGUAGGGGAGGAAGGUCUGGUGUAUAGCCAGGCUUGACCGAUCCUAGGAGGAAGGGCCGGCUAACUUCGUGCCAGCAGCCGCUGUAA
rnacentral:rRNA from 1 species